AAUUAAAUACUAUAGUCUAAUAAUUAUUAAUAGUUCUAUAAUUAUUCAAAACAUUUUUAAAUUUAGUAAAAGUGAUAGAAAAUUAUUAAAUAAUGAUCUAAGAAAAGUACCGUAAGGGAAUUUUAAUUUUAAUUAAAAAACAGAAAAAUUUAGUAUUUGUACCUUUUGCAUCAUGGUUUAGCUAGAUAUACAUUUUCUCUAAAAUUUCUCGAAAUCUAAUGAGUUAUUUUUAUUCAGUAUGUUAGUAUAAAAGAGUAGUUGUAGCAAAAACUUUCUUAGAAAUAAAAAUGGAAAUGAAAUUUUAUUCGUAUUAGAUGAUAGCUAGUUUUUCUAUAAAAGCAUAUAAGUGCUUUAAAUUAAUUUAAUUUUUAUAAGUUAUUCUAUAAAAAGGAUUUAAUUUAGUUAAAUUUUCGAGGAUAAGCUCGAAAAUUAAGUAUAUACUUGCAUUAUAUUUUUAUUAAAAUUUAGGCUUGAAAAUAGCUAUAAUUUUGAGUUUGUUAUAAUUUAUUAGUUAAUUAAAAAAAUAAUUAAUUUGCUUAUGUUUAUAGAAAAAAAUUUAAUAAUCAAAUUAAAUUGUAUUAAUGCUAAAAUGAGUAUUGAAAUAUUUUAUACCCCUUUAGCAAUUUAUUAGCUAAAGUUUAUAUUUACUUUUAAUAUAAAAAUUAUAAAAAGGAACUCGGCAAAUAAUCAUUCUGCCUGUUUAGCAAAAACAUGGCUCCUUGAAUUUAAAUAAUAAGGAGUCGGACCUGCCCAGUGAAUUUUUCAACGGCCGCGGUACUCUGACCGUGCAAAGGUAGCAUAAUCAUUUGCCUUAUAAUUGAAGGCUAGUAUGAAUGGUUUGACAAGAAUGAAGCUGUCUCUUUAUAAUUUUAUAGAAUUUUAUUUUUAGGUGAAGAAGCCUAAAUACUAUUAAAAGACAAGAAGACCCUAUCGAGCUUAAAAGAAAUUAAUAGAAUUAAUUAAUUAAUAUUUAUAAAAAAUUACCUAUUAAACAUUUUAGUUGGGGCGACUGAGGAACAUAAAAAGCUUCCUUUAAAAGAUUAACUAAAAUCAAACUAGAAUUGAUCCAAAAUAUUUUGAUUAAAGAAAUUAGUUACCGUAGGGAUAACAGCAUUAUCUUUUUUAAGAGCUCAUAUCGAAAAAAAGGUUUGUGACCUCGAUGUUGGACCAGAAUAUCCUAAAGGUGCAGCAGUCUUUAAGGGUUGGUCUGUUCGACCAUUAAAAUUCUACGUGAUCUGAGUUCAGACCGGCGUGAGCCAGGUCAGUUUCUAUCUUUAAUUACUUUGGUAAAUUUAGUACGAAAGGACCAAUUUAUCAUAUGAAUAAUAUUUUCUACUGAUUAAAUCUAAUUAAAAAUUAAAUCUAAUCAAAUUAGCAAAAUUUAAUGCAAUUGACUUAGGAUCAAUAGAUAUAGGUGAAAUUCCUUUAUUUGAUAAAUAUCAUAAAGAUGGCAGACGAA
rnacentral:rRNA from 1 species